AUUAUUUUCGUAUUUAUAUUUAUUUAUAAACAAUAGGUUAUGUUCGUGCAUCUUGAGUAUUAUUUCUACAAUUUUCUACUAACUUGAAUCGAACACCUUAUAUAUAUACUGCUCACGUAUUUAUGCUGUCUUUAUAUGUGCACCGUGGAAAUCUACUAUUGGCAAGCAAACAUAUCGAUAAAA